UUACAUUCCGAACCCGGAAGUUAAGCCCUCCAGCGCCGAUGGUACUGCACCGGGGACGGUGUGGGAGAGUAGGACACCGCCGGAC
rnacentral:rRNA from 1 species